rnacentral:rRNA from 1 species
GACGAACGCUGGCGGCGUGCUUAACACAUGCAAGUCGAACGGAAAGGCCCUGCUUUUGUGGGGUGCUCGAGUGGCGAACGGGUGAGUAACACGUGAGUAACCUGCCCUUGACUUUGGGAUAACUUCAGGAAACUGGGGCUAAUACCGGAUAGGAGCUCCUGCUGCAUGGUGGGGGUUGGAAAGUUUCGGCGGUUGGGGAUGGACUGGCGGCUUAUCAGCUUGUUGGGGGGGUAGUGGCCUACCAAGGCUUUGACGGGUAGCCGGCCUGAGAGGGUGACCGGCCACAUUGGGACUGAGAUACGGCCCAGACUCCUACGGGAGGCAGCAGUGGGGAAUAUUGCACAAUGGGCGGAAGCCUGAUGCAGCAACGCCGCGUGCGGGAUGACGGCCUUCGGGUUGUAAACCGCUUUCGCCUGUGACGAAGCGUGAGUGGCGGUAAUGGGUAAAGAAGCACCGGCUAACUACGUG